rnacentral:rRNA from 1 species
UACAGAGGGUGCAAGCGUUGUUCGGAAUCAUUGGGCGUAAAGGGCGUGUAGGCGGUUUGUUAAGUCAUGUGUGAAAUCCCUCGGCUCAACCGGGGAACGACGCAUGAAACUGGCAAGCUAGAGUACCAAAGAGGGUGGUGGAAUUCCCGGUGUAGCAGUGAAAUGCGUAGAGAUCGGGAGGAACACCAGUGGCGAAGGCGGCCUUCUGGACCAAUACUGACGCUCAUGCACGAAAGCGUGGGGAGCAAACAGG